rnacentral:rRNA from 1 species
UGCAAGUCGAACGGUAACAGGAAGAAGCUUGCUUCUUUGCUGACGAGUGGCGGACGGGUGAGUAAUGUCUGGGAAACUGCCUGAUGGAGGGGGAUAACCACUGGAAACGGUAGCUAAUACCGCAUAACGUCGCAAGACCAAAGAGGGGGACCUUCGGGCCUCUUGCCAUCGGAUGUGCCCAGAUGGGAUUAGCUAGUAGGUGGGGUAACGGCUCACCUAGGCGACGAUCCCUAGCUGGUCUGAGAGGAUGACCAGCCACACUGGAACUGAGACACGGUCCAGACUCCUACGGGAGGCAGCAGUGGGGAAUAUUGCACAAUGGGCGCAAGCCUGAUGCAGCCAUGCCGCGUGUAUGAAGAAGGCCUUCGGGUUGUAAAGUACUUUCAGCGGGGAGGAAGGGAGUAAAGUUAAUACCUUUGCUCAUUGACGUUACCCGCAGAAGAAGCACCGGCUAACUCCGUGCCAGCAGCCGCGGUAAUACGGAGGGUGCAAGCGUUAAUCGGAAUUACUGGGCGUAAAGCGCACGCAGGCGGUUUGUUAAGUCAGAUGUGAAAUCCCCGGGCUCAACCUGGGAACUGCAUCUGAUACUGGCAAGCUUGAGUCUCGUAGAGGGGGGUAGAAUUCCAGGUGUAGCGGUGAAAUGCGUAGAGAUCUGGAGGAAUACCGGUGG